UUUAAGGGUCCAAUUGUGUGUGUUUAAAGUUCUUAAACUGAUCUGAGGCCUGUACUACGAAGUGAGUUCAACAUACCUAGGGUAUCUUCUCGUUAUCUGGUUUAACUAACCCUAACGACCGAGAUCACGCUAAACGGUCCUACCACGCUGGUUAU